GCCUGGGUGGCUCAGUCAGUUAAGCGUCUGACUUAAGCUCAGGUCAUGAUCUCACACUCCGUGAGUUCGAGCCCCACAUCGGGCU
rnacentral:tRNA from 1 species